GCCAGACUCCUACGGGAGGCAGCAGUGAGGAAUAUUGGUCAAUGGGCGCGAGCCUGAACCAGCCAAGUCGCGUGAGGGAUGACGGCCCUACGGGUUGUAAACCUCUUUUGUCGGGGAGCAAAUUCCGCCACGUGUGGCGGAGUCGAGAGUACCCGGAGAAAAAGCAUCGGCUAACUCCGUGCCAGCAGCCGCGGUAAUACGGAGGAUGCGAGCGUUAUCCGGAUUUAUUGGGUUUAAAGGGUGCGCAGGCGGCGAGUUAAGUCAGCGGUAAAAUUUCGGGGCUCAACCCCGUCCGGCCGUUGAAACUGGGGGCCUUGAGUGGGCGAGAAGAAGGCGGAAUGCGUGGUGUAGCGGUGAAAUGCAUAGAUAUCACGCAGAACUCCGAUUGCGAAGGCAGCAUACCGGCGCCCAACUGACGCUGAAGCACGAAAGCGUGGGUAUCGAACAGGAUUAGAUACCCUUGUAUUA
rnacentral:rRNA from 1 species